rnacentral:rRNA from 1 species
UACAGAGGUCUCAAGCGUUGGUCGGAUUCAUUGGGCGUAAAGGGUGCGUAGGCGGCGCGGUAAGUCGGGUGUGAAAUCUCGGAGCUUAACUCCGAAACUGCAUUCGAUACUGCCGUGCUUGAGGACUGGAGAGGAGACUGGAAUUUACGGUGUAGCGGUGAAAUGCGUAGAUAUCGUAAGGAAGACCAGUGGCGAAGGCGGGUCUCUGGGCAGUUCCUGACGCUGAGGCACGAAGGUCAGGGGAGCAAACGGG